rnacentral:lncRNA from 1 species
GCUAUUCUCUUUACCUGGCCCUGAUGCGCGCCAGCCAACCAGGCCAAGGCCAGGGGACCUCGAGACCGGCAGCCUCGACGAAGAACCGGAAGGAGGAAAAGGAACGGGAGGGAGGAAGAUCUCCCGCAUUGACUUCAUAACCAAGUUCUGGGUCCCUGCCUCUGGAGUGCCUGAUGAGACAAAACGGCUCCUCGUCCUGCAUCCCCGCUGCUACUUCCAGAAUUCAGGCCUCGUGGUCUGGAGCCUGCACUGUUCCAUGAGCCUCCUGAGCAACCUGGAGUCCUCUGUCUUUCUUCCCUCAGUGAGAUGCGCCUACUUCUCCCUGGAGAAGCUCGAGGAAGCAGGAAUGCUGGAGAUGAGACCCAGCACACCCUGCCUGCAUGGCGCUGCGCUGCACCUUCACUCUGGUCACGGGUCUGGCAGUCGGCUCACCAAUUCGUCCUGCUUCCCUGGGACUCGCCGGCUUUUAGCACUGCAAUUCACUCAGCAAACUGGGACUGUU